CCGGUGGCUCCUUCUCUCUCCGAAGCCUCCAGUGGCGGAGAUUCAGCAGCUCGGGAGAAAGGAAUAAUAAUAAGAAGGAUAAUGAUGAUGAUGAUGAUCAUGAUACCGAUACCGAAGUUAUCUUCCCGAACCGAGCCGAGAGCGCGUGGCCGGGAGGAAAGGAGCGCGUAACCGCGGCGCGCGGAGCCGUGCCUGUGUGUGCGCGCCCCCGCCCCGCUUCCCUCUCUGAUUAAGGCUUUAUUCCAGCAGCAGCAGCAGUGUUAAUGACCCUCUCACUGCUCUGGACUUGUCUAGUGUGUGUGUGUAGAGUGAGUGAGUGAGUGUGAGUGAGUGGUGAGACGAGCAAUGUUCCGAGAGAGCUGCUGGAGAGCGUUCGGGAUGCAGUGGGGAGGAAAAUCAAGCUGGGCCUUAAGAAGAAAGUCAAACUGGAGGUCAAAGGAGAUAAAGUAGAGAACAGAGUCCUGGUGAGUAGCAGCUCCACGACACACACACACACACACACACACACACACACACACACACGCACUUGGAUCUCAAUUCUAAACCCUUCUCAGGAUUGAUUUUUGCUUUACACCUUUGUCUCUGAGUGAGAUGGAGAACGC
ensembl:lncRNA